ACUCAAAUGAAUUGACGGGGGCCUGCACAAGCGGUGGAGUAUGUGGCUCAAUUCGAUGCAACGCGAAGAACCUUACCUGGCCUUGACAUGUAUGUAGUAGAAGGGUGAAAACCUGACGAGGUAGCAAUACCAGCAUACACAGGUGCUGCAUGGCUGUCGUCAGCUCGUGUCGUGAGAUGUUGGGUUAAGUCCCGCAACGAGCGCAACCCUUGCGUCCUGUUGCCACCCGGCCGAGAGGCUGGAGCACUCUGGACGGACUGCCUCAUUUAAAUGAGGAGGAAGGUGGGGAUGACGUCAAGUCAGUAUGGCCCUUACGGCCAGGGCUGCACACGUACUACAAUGCCCGGCACAAAGGGAAGCAAAACGGUAACGUGGAGCAAAUCCCCUAAAACCGGGCCCAGUUCAGAUUGUCGUCUGCAACUCGACGGCAUGAAGCUGGAAUCGCUAGUAAUGGCGCAUCAGCUACGGCGCCGUGAAUACGUUCCCAGGCCUUGCACACACCGCCCGU
rnacentral:rRNA from 1 species